CGGCUCAGUAACACGUGGAUAACCUACCCUUGAGACGGGGAUAAACCCGGGAAACUGGGUAUAAUACCCGAUAGAUCUCGACUGCUGGAAUGCAUCGAGAUCCAAAGCUCCGGCGCUCAAGGAUGGAUCUGCGGCCUAUCAGGUAGUAGUGGGUGUAGCGUACCUACUAGCCUACGACGGGUACGGGUUGUGAGAGCAAGAGCCCGGAGAUGGAUUCUGAGACACGAAUCCAGGCCCUACGGGGUGCAGCAGGCGCGAAAACUUUACAAUGCUGGAAACAGCGAUAAGGGGACCUCGAGUGCCAGGUUACAAAUCUGGCUGUCGUGAUGCCUAAAAAAGCAUUGCAUAGCAAGGGCCGGGCAAGACCGGUGCCAGCCGCCGCGGUAACACCGGCGGCUCGAGUGGUAACCGUUAUUAUUGGGUCUAAAGGGUCUGUAGCCGGCCGGAUAAGUCUCUUGGGAAAUCUGGCAGCUUAACUGUCAGGCUUUCAGGAGAUACUGUCUGGCUCGAGGCCGGGAGAGGUGAGAGGUACUUCAGGGGUAGGGGUGAAAUCUUGUGAUCCUUGAAGGACCACCAGUGGCGAAGGCGUCUCACCAGAACGGACCUGACGGCAAGGGACGAAAGCUAGGGGCACGAACCGGAUUAGAUACCCGGGUAGUCCUAGCCGUAAACGAUACUCGCUAGGUGUCGGCAACG
rnacentral:rRNA from 1 species